rnacentral:lncRNA from 1 species
CGUACCUUUGUGGGGAUUCUUGAUGCCACUGUCAAAAAUCAGCUGACUGUAUAUGUGAAUUGCUGAAAGAGUUGAAGAGGUGGAAAAAUAUACUAAAACCAGCGGUUUCUCAUUACCUCUACCCUAAUAUCGUCUUUCAAGCCACCAUCAACUUCCACAUGGACUAUUGCAAUAACCUUCUAAUAUGCUUGCCCCAAUCCAAACCUACCUCACAUUGGCCAAAAUCACAACUGGACUAGACAGAAUCA